GGAGGGGUGCGAGAGCGGCCGAAUCGGACGGUCUCGAAACCGUUGUGGGGGCAACCUCACCGUUGGGUUCAGAUCCCACCCCCUCCC
rnacentral:tRNA from 1 species